rnacentral:misc_RNA from 1 species
CCCGGAGGACCUCACUCUGUCGCCACAGUCGCCAAAGGACUGCACCCCUUUUCAGCCCGCCUGCCCCCCGUCCCCCCAAAUCUUCUUCCCUUCUAUUCCACCUCUAUGGAAGGGAACGCGUGUACACAUAGAGGCGUGUACACAAGUGCGUACGCUUCCCUGCAGCACGUUGAGAGUGCAACGUGUGCCGUGUCUGUGCCUUGUGUCUUUGUGUGACUUGCUCAACAGCAACGCGAUACAGGAGAACAGCAGUUUCUCUGUCUCUCCCCUCCUGCCCUUCAUGCCUCGUACCUCUGCGCCCCCCCCUCCCACACCUCUCACGAACCCCCCUACGCCCGUCUCUCUCAGCAACGGCUUCGCUGUCCGCUAUCACGGAGGGCAACGCAGCCCUUAGAGAGUGAGAGAAGCUCGUGCAGACACCAGCGUCGACUGCUCAGCUGCUGAAUCUACUGCGGUACAGGCCUUGAGCCGGCGGCACAGCGUGUAGCAAGACGAAGGUGCCCACGAAGGCGUCGCUCUCAAUCAUCCAGACGAGAUGCAGCCGCGACGCUCAAAGGUAGUCCCGGGCCCGCUCUUCUACCCGGAGCGGACGACAACGAUGGUGGCUGCCAAGAGAUGGCCGUCCCCGCCAGCCGCGUCGGGGUCUACCUCUGCUCCUGCGACGAAGCCCUCUGCUUCGUCCGAGGCACCGACAGCAUCAACGGCAGCGAUGGGGCAGCGCAGAAGCGGUGCUCAGCGUGCGCUAGUGCUCAGCGUCGCCGCAGCGCCGGUGCUGCCGCCGGGGGCCACCGCCACAGGCGGUGCGAUGGAGGUGCUCUCCCCAAGCCUCAACGUGUACCGUGCCGGCAGCAGCGGGGUGACCCUCACCAUCGCUCCCAGGACCACCGUUCUCGUGGCCGAUCACGUCACGAACACCGGUGCGGUGGUGAGGUUGGAGCAAGUGGACUACAGCAAGGCCAUGCGUGCGUACCGCGUGUGCCGGCAAGAGGGGGGCGCUGUAGCCGAGGAGCCAUCGAAAGGCUGGCACGCUAGCUCUGCCACGCCGGCGACACCGUUGCCGCCGCCGCUGACCUCGCCGCACGGGAUCUGCUCAAGCUACACGACGAGCCUGAACACUUUCUCGGGGACUGCAAGCCCCAACGGCCGCGCCAGCUACGCCGCCCGUGAUGAUGACACGGCACUCGGCCACGACCCGGCGCCGUGGCGCGUUGUGUUCCUGCGGCUGUUCGGCGCUACGGAUAUGGUGCUGCUCACCGUCGCCGUGGCGUGCUUCCUGGUGGUGGUGUCGCGACUAAGCAUGAUAAAGUACGGCCGAACAGAUGGGCAGAGCGCAAUGUCGUGGUCGUCCCUGCCGUGGUUGGAGGUGGCGCUGGCAGCGCUCACCUCUGGACGCUCGGUGGUGGAGGAGGCUGUGGCACCGUCUGGCUUGUCGCCCGCGUCUGGUGAAGGCUUGGCGCAGGGAGUCACACGGGGGCCCCCGGGGACCUCAUCGUCGACUGCAGCGACUGUGAUUUCGGUCCCUGGCACCAAAGGGGUGCUCUUCGCGUCCUAUACCCAGGCUACAAGCACCCCGGCCUUGGACACGAGCGUCACGCUCGUCCUCCUGCUCUUCUCUACUUUCCUCUUGGUAAAGCGGCUCAGUGGCGCGCUGAGUCGGGUGUACGUGGAGGAAGUGCUCGUCAUGCGCGGCGUUGGCCUGCAGUUCUCCGCGUACGGAAUAUUCAACACACUGCGGUACCGGCACUUCGUCGACCUCCUCAUGCUGCGCUCACUUGUCAUCCACGACGCGUUCUUCCGGUACCAGCCGAUGUUCUUCCUCUCCUCGUCCGUGGAGAAUAAGGCGGAACGGAUUGUGUACUUUCCUGAUACGCUGCCGCGGCUGGCGGUUCUGCGGCCCGUUUUGAACGGCAUUCGCGGGGUGCUCUACGGAGAGCCAGAGGAGGGGCCAAGCCUGGGGGAGCUGGAGGAGCGCUGGAAGAAGUCAGCCAGUGAGAUUUCCGAUGGCGACUUUUUUACGGAGGACAGCUUUGCCGAAGACACAGUGACGACGCCAGAUGAUGCAUGCUUCUCCGACGCCACAGAUCGCGACGAGGAUUGAAGCAGGUGCAGGUGCUAAGUUUGUGUGUGUGUGUGGGGGGGGCUUGGAGGAUGAUGUGGUACAGCGCGGCGGGUGGACUUCCAGUGAAGAGAGAGGCAAUCUAGUUGAGGCCUGUCCAACGUUGCCCCCUCCCCCUUUGCAGUCAUUCUACCGCCUCCUGCUUCUGCCUUCCUGGCUCCCAACGUUUUUGUUUUGUUUUCGCAUUCCUCCUGGCUCUUCCGAAUCACAGGAGUACCCGCUAUCUCGCGUGUGUGCGUGUGUGUAUGAGGAACGCCGCUGCUUGUAUUCGUCGGAUCGUUCCUCGCGGUGUCUGCGCGACGUCUCGGCUGAUUUUGCUGUUUCUUUAUAUAUGUACGUGUAGUGUGUGUUGUGCUCUUCUCCAUCCUUGCGCUGUGCGUUGAUGCGUCGUGCGUGUGUUUGCACCAGUGUGU